CAGGAGUUAAGGCAGAUGUGGAGGCACAACGGGUGACACCAGACACACACCAAGCACAUUAUGUUCGGACAUUCAAUCAUGACAGGAUCCAUGUGGAUGCUGUCCAUUGAGGAAAGAGUUUGUUCAGCGGUUUCUGGAUAGAAUUAAUUCCAAAGAUGGGAAAAAGUGCACAUCCAGACAAGGAGCAAGCAAAAAGACAAGGAACUUGGUGCAGAGAAAAGCUGUGGCCAUUAACCCCCAUGUGAACAGCUUCAUGCAGUCCCUGAUUGAGUUCGAAUGGACGACUUCAAAGUAAAGGCCACUGUGGUCUGUCUGCCACAGUUUAAUGCAUUUAUUUUUAGUGUUAAAUGAAAUUUAAGUAGAAUAUUUAAAACUAUGGGCCAGUGUUCUUUUUACCACAGUGAAAUGUUACCUUUUAGUCGAUGAUGGACUUUAAACUGAAAACUUCAAACUAUGGAACAGUGUUCUAUUUGCCAGAGUUAAAUAUGUUACAGCAGGGGUCUCCAAACUUGUUUAUACUUGUUGAUUUUAUUUUAUGUUACUUGAUUUUAUGUU